rnacentral:misc_RNA from 1 species
GAUGAAGAACGUAGCGAAAUGCGAUACGUAAUGUGAAUUGCAGAAUUCAGUGAAUCAUCGAAUCUUUGAACGCAUAUUGCGCUCUCUGGUAUUCCGGAGAGCAGGCUUGUUUGAGUAUCAGUAAACACCUCAACUCCCUUUCUUCUUGAAAUGGAGCUGGACUUGAGUGAUCCCAACGCUUUAUUCAUAAAGUGGCGGGUUACUUGAAAUGCAGGUGCAGCUGGACUUUUCUCUGAGCUAUAAGCAUAUCUAUUUAGUCUGCCUCAAAACAGAUUAUUACCUUUGCUGCAGCUAACAUAAAGGAGAUUAGUUCUUGUGCUGACUGAUGCAGGAUUCACAAAGACCGCUUCGGCUGUCUUUGUAAACUCGAUCUCAAAUCAAGUAAGACUACCCGCUGAACUUAAGCAUAUCAAUAAGCGGAGGA